UUGACACAAUGAUCUGAAGUUCAAACUGCCAUUUUCUACUGUCCGCUGCAAGAUCUUGGCUGGAAUGUAAAAGGAAUGUCCAAAAAUUUAAAUGACAAACAGGAUGGGAACUGAUAAUGAGGAAUAUGCUGAAACAGACAUCUGGCAUAUUCCUAUAAUCAGUAUCAUGGCCUUUGUAUACAACAAAAUUGAUUGGAACUCCUAGACUAGAAAUAUAAUUCAAGAUUUAAAUAAGGCACUGGUCAUAGUUUUAGAAAGUGUGGCUAGCAUUCUGAAGGAAGACAGAGAGAUGGAAAGACAUCAAAGAAUGGGCAGGUCUGCCAAGAAAUGGUUUAUCCAGGGCUAAGUACAGAGAGGAAUAUAGAAGGGCUGUUGACAGAUCUUGUGUGGUGCCCCCAUGGUUCAACAGACUAAUUGAUUGGUAAUGAAAAUAAUACCAGGGUUAUGCUCCUUUGACCAUUGAGUUCCAGGAUGAAGAAUGAAAGACAGAGAGCAAUGUAAAGACAUGAAAGAAUGAGCAGGUCUGCCAUGAAAUGGUUUAUCCAGGGCUAAGUACAGAGAGGAAUAUAGAAGGGCUGUUGACAGAUCUUGUGUGGUGCCCCCAUGGUUCAACAGACUGAUUGAUAGG